UAGGAGGUCUUGCCUGCCCAGUGACAAGUUAAACGGCCGCGGUAUUUUGACCGUGCAAAGGUAGCGCAAUCACUUGUCUUUUAAAUGAAGACCCGUAUGAAUGGUGAAACGAGGGCUUAACUGUCUCCCUUCUCAAGUCAAUGAAAUUGAUCUGCCCGUGCAGAAGCGGACAUACAAAUACAAGACGAGAAGACCCUUUGGAGCUUAAGAUAUAAGACCAACUAUGUCAAUAAAACCAAAAAUCAAAUUAAACUAAAUAGCACCUGAUCCUUAUCUUCGGUUGGGGCGACCACGGAAGAAAACAAAGCUUCCAUGCGGACCGGGGCUUAAAGCCCUAAAACAAGAAAGACAUUUCUAAGUAACAGAACAUCUGACCACUAAGAUCCGGCAAUCUAAAGCCGAUCAACGGACCAAGUUACCCUAGGGAUAACAGCGCAAUCCCCUUUAAGAGUCCAUAUCGACAAGGGGGUUUACGACCUCGAUGUUGGAUCAGGACAUCCUAAUGGUGCAGCCGCUAUUAAGGGUUCGUUUGUUCAACGAUUAAAGUCCU
rnacentral:rRNA from 1 species